rnacentral:rRNA from 1 species
AUUGAACGCUGUCGGCAGUCCUAACACAUGCACGUCGAACGAGUGGCGGACGGGUGAGUAAUGUCUGGGAAACUGCCUGAUGGAGGGGGAUAACUACUGGAAACGGUAGCUACUACCGCAUACCCUCGGAUGUGCCCAGAUGGGAUUAGCUAGUAGGUGGGGUAACGGCUCACCUAGGCGACGAUCCCUAGCUGGUCUGAGAGGAUGCCCAGCGUAACUGGAAAGGAGACACGGUCCAGAAUCCUACGGGAGGCAGCAGUGGGGAAUAUUGCAAAAUGGGCGCAAGCCUGAUGCAGCCAUGCCGCGUGUAGGAAGAAGGCCUUGGGGUUGUAAAGUACUUGCAGCGUGGAGGCGUUACCCGCAGAAGAAGCACCGGCUAACUCCGUGCCAGCAGCCGCGGUAAUUC